rnacentral:rRNA from 1 species
GGACGAAGGCCUUCGGGUUGUAAACUGCUGUCACGCUAUAGGAACGUGCUUCGGCACUUGACCAAAGCGAGAGGAAGCACCGGCUAACUCCGUGCCAGCAGCCGCGGUAAGACGGAGGGUGCAAACGUUGCUCGGAAUCACUGGGCAUAAAGCGCACGUAGGCGGUCAUCUAAGUCGGAUGUGAAAUCCCCCGGCUCAACCGGGGAACUGCAUCCGAUACUGGGUGGCUCGAGAAUGGUUGGGGUGAGCGGAACUCCAGGUGGAGCGGUGAAAUGCGUAGAUAUCUGGAGGAACACCGGUGGCGAAAGCGGCUCACUGGACCAUCACUGACGCUGAGGUGCGAAAGCUAGGGGAGCAAACGGGAUUAGAUACCCCCGUAGUCC